rnacentral:lncRNA from 1 species
GUGGGCUGGGUGGGGCGGACGCCUGGGCGGGGGCGGGGCACGCAGGGCGGGGCGGGGCGGCGGCUACCCGAGGUCGCGGGAGGUCGCGGGGUGUUUUCCUCGUUUUGUAGGCGGGUGAGGGGCCCGUUGGCCCUCCCGCCUGGUGGCUGCUUUCCCCAUCUGCCCGAUCGAGACCCCAAGUUUUCGGUGGUGACGGAGCCGCUUGAGUCCUGCGGCGUUUUCGCUUUUGCUCUUCUCCACCGAGCUGAGCAGCUUAUAUUCUUACGACUUUCAAGCCAAUCUGGUGAAACAUUUGGCAGAAAUAAGGAAAACAUCUCCAUCGUGUUUUGCUGCUCGGGUGCAAUGUUCAAGAACACCAGAAGAGGGCAGUAAAUCCUUUAGAACUAGAGAGCAGGUUGGGAGCUGCACUGGAAGUGUGGGGACUUAAAUCCUGGUCCCUUGGAAGAGCAGCCACUGAGCCAUCUCUCCAGCCCUUGUGAUUUUUCUUCCUCUUCUCUCUACCACCACCUCCUCCUCCUCCUCCUCCUCCUCCUCCUCCUCUUUUUUUUUUUUUUUUUUUUUUGGUUUUUCGAGACAGGGUUUCUCUGUGUAGCUUUGGAGCCUAUCCUGGCACUUGCUCUGUAGACCAGGCUGGCCUCGAACUCACAGAGAUCCACCUGCCUCUGCCUCCCGAGUGCUGGGAUUAAAGGUGUGCGCCACCAACCCCGGCCCUAUAUAGUACUUGUUAACCCUAUCUUUUUUAUUUUUGAGAGAGAGAGUUGGAUUCGCUGGAGCUGGAGUUCCAGGUAUUUGCAAGUGGGAUUAGUUGGGUGCUGGAAUCAGAACUCUUCCUCUGGAAGAACAGCAAAUGCUCUUAACUGUGAGCCAUCUCUCCAGUAUCCAUCAGAUGUGCCUUUUUAAAGUUAGGGUAGUGUCAGACUGUAGAAUUCUCUGUCUAGUUUUUAAGAAUGGAUAUUUGACUGGGUGUAGUGGCACAUGCCUUUGAUCCCUGUACUCAGGAGAUAGAGGCAGGGGGAACUCUGAAUUCAAGGCCAGACUGGACUAUAUAGAGAAACCCUGUUGGAGAGAUGUGGUAGGGGGGAACCAGACACACAAAAUUAAAUAAACAUUUUAAAAAAUCAUACAAUUAAAUAAUACUAAAUAAACAUUUAAAAGAAUUUAGACACUAUAAUAUGGUGGGUUGUGACACAUGCCUUUAAUCCUAGCAGUUAGGAGUCAGAGGCAGGCAAAUGUCUACAAAGUGUCAGGACAGCCAGGGCUAUACAGGGAAACACUGUCUCAAAAAGAAAAAAUACAAUGGUUUUGAUAAAGGUUUGCCAAAGGUGUUAUGAUCCACAUGUUGCUGCUGCUUUAGAAUUUCAAAGCCCUAGGGCAUUGGUGGUGCACACCUUUAAUCCCAGCACUUAGGAG